rnacentral:rRNA from 1 species
AUUGAACGCUGGCGGCAGGCCUAACACAUGCAAGUCGAGCGGAGCGGCGGACGGGUGAGUAAUGACUAGGAAUCUGCCUGGUAGUGGGGGAUAACGUCCGGAAAGGGGCGCUAAUACCGCAUACUAUCAGAUGAGAAUAGGUCGGAUUAGCUAGUUGGUGGGGUAAAGGCCUACCAAGGCAACGAUCCGUAACUGGGCUGAGAGGACGUUCAGUCACCCUGCAACUGAGACACCGUCCAGACUCCGACGUGAGGCAGCAGUAGGGAAUCUUGCACAAUGUGCGGAAGCCUUAUCCAGCCAUGCCGUGUGUGUGAAGAAUGUCUUCUGAUUGUAAAGCACUUUAAGUUGGGAGGCGUUACCAACAGAAUAAGCACCUGAUAACUUCGUGCCAGCAGCCGCGGUAAUUC